CUGGUGGCUCCCCGAGCCCUGGCACUGUCCCCUUGGGGUGGGGACAGGGGUGGGACACACGCCCUGCCCGGCUCCGUGCCAGGGCCUGCCCGGCACCGGCCCCAGCCAGACUGGGGCUCCAGGGCUGCUCCAGGGCUGCUCCAGGGCUGCUCCAGCCCCAAAGCCAAGAGUCACCAGUGAAACAGGCUCAUUGGUGACUGCAAAAAGGUCUCAGAUCCCAGGACUGCAAACGUGGGAACAGCGAGCAGGGGAAGCUGCAGCUGACAUGGGCAGCCGUGUGCCCGUACCUGCCCGUGCCAGAUGAAACCCAGCGGUGCUGGGAGGAAGGGCUGAUGCAGGCACCACAGAGUUAACUCCCAGCAAUUAAACUCCAGAGCCAAGCUACGUCUCACACCUUCAUAAACCAGCUGUGAUAUAUCCUGCUACUGUAAAGAAUUACCAUUUAUUGAUAAUGAAAGGUGCUCCACCACAACUUGUCAAGACAGCCUGUCUGAGUCUUCACACGUCAGACAGAAUCACAGCACUUGGUGUUUUGGUCUGUUGACAGCAAUUUAUUUUGAUGUGUUGUCACAAUACGGAAUUCUUCGAGGCUCUACACCACAGUGCCAGCGAGUCCUACUGUACUUUCCUGCUGCCAGAUGCUACAGUUGCUAUGGCAUCAUCGCUAAACUCCAUCUUGCAUACCUACGGAAUGGGAUGAGGACAGAGAAACUGCAAUGGAAGCCAAAGAGAGGCUUAAAGGACUGCAAGGAAGUGUGAAUUCAUGGAGACAAUUCCAAGCUACCCUUUUGUCCUCCCUGGCAGGCAAAACACAGACCUGCACCUGGCUGCCUUCAACCAUGGGGAUCAAAUCCAGCACUGCAAACACAGCACUUACUGCCAGCACCGAGUGCAGACACUCAACCAGCCAAGUGACCUUUUCUCCAUUCAGCAGUCUCUUAAAAGCAAAAUUUGUUGUGAAGGCUUUGUGCUUAAAGAAUGUAUGAAUUUAUGUCAAAUCCAUCAGUCCAGGGACUGAUAAUUGCUCGGGUUGAGAUGGCACUGGGGCCAGGCACAGAGAGAAGGAAAGGGAAUACACCAGUUAUUUAUUAACUUGAGUCCCCAAAGCCUUGUUAUAUUCCCAAAUCACAACCCUACUGGCAUAAGAGACUGCUGAGAUGGAAAUCUCUUAACAGCUGCCUCUCCUGCUCCCGAGCCAGUGCUCCCCUCUGGCGCAGAGUGAUGAGGUGGUAUUAACGCCCGCUGGAGGAGCAGAAUUUAAUGCGCCCCAUAAAAAAAUCAUGUACUGCCCUAAAAAUCCAACAGCACUCCUCUGCCAUUCAAGUGCUUCAGACCUGAGGUUUGCAUCUGAAGUCUCCCCUCUCCUGGGCUGGUGCUGUGGAGCAGGAUGGACGAGCCCCCCAAGCCCCAGGUCUGCUGCACCCCGUGACCCCCUGCACCCAGAGCUCUGCUGACCCUGCUCCUAAAGAAGUUUUGAGAUUACGCCUCCAGGCUUAAAUGAGACUUAAGUGCUCCCUUAGCCUUCUGCUGGCACAGGGCAGGUGGUGGGUACAGAAAGCACUACAGGAAUCAAUGAAACCAGCCAAGGUA